GCUCAGGGCGAACGCUGGCGGCGUGCCUAAUACAUGCAAGUUGAGCGCUGAAGGUUGGUACUUGUACCAACUGGAUGAGCAGCGAACGGGUGAGUAACGCGUGGGGAAUCUGCCUUUGAGCGGGGGACAACAUUUGGAAACGAAUGCUAAUACCGCAUAAAAACUUUAAACACAAGUUUUAAGUUUGAAAGAUGCAAUUGCAUCACUCAAAGAUGAUCCCGCGUUGUAUUAGCUAGUUGGUGAGGUAAAGGCUCACCAAGGCGAUGAUACAUAGCCGA
rnacentral:rRNA from 1 species